rnacentral:lncRNA from 1 species
UAUAAAAAAGAAGAUGUGGUAUGAUUGCCAAUGAGACAACUAUCCACAAAAGACCAAAAUGACACAGACAUUAGCAACUAUAGGUCACCGUACGGCCUUCAACAAUGAGCAAAGCUCAUACCGCAUAGUCAUCUAUAAAAGGCCCCGAAAAGACAAUGUAAUACAGUUCAAACGAGAAAACUAACGGCCUUAUUUAUGUACAAAAUGAACGAAAAUCAAAUAUG